AGCCGUGCAAUACCCACCCCCAGCCUUCGACCCAACAGAUGACGUGCGGCCGCCGCGCUGCGGCCGCCGCGCCCCGCCCGCUCGCGGCGCAUGCCCCUUGCCCCGCGUGCGUCGUCUCCCGUCACACCACCCCCUCGACCGCCUCGACGUCGGCGCGAGGCUCCAGGCCAUCGGGGACGAAUCCGGGCCAGGGCUCCCGAGCAGGCCACGGUCUACGACGAUGCCUACGAUCCCUGGACCCUGGAUGACACCGACGUGUGAGGUCCUACCCUGCCCCCACCCGCGUGUGUCGUCUCCCCUUGUGAACUUGUGAUCUAUUUUGUUUAGAUACUCUAUGAUUUGAAUUUUCCCUCUUUUUUUGUUAUUUGUCUUCCUUAACUAUAAUGAUUGUGAUAAACUUUAUUGUUGUGGAAUUUCUCAUCUAUGUUACAAGAUAGAUAUUCACCACUUUGAGGUCUGAAAUAAAACAUAAUAGCACUCCUAGGCUCACUUUGAGGUCUUAAAUAAAACAUAAUAGCACUCUUACAUGAUUACCACAUAGCUAUUUACCACUUUGAGGUUUGCAGGUCUCAGGCUCACUUUGAGAGGCUAGCAGAUUUGCUUACUUCAGAUAUUUUGAAGCCUUGUACCAAGCCAUCAAGGAGUAGGGUUGCAUCGGUCUUACUGCCAAUGAUGAUCCAUACAAUGCUAAUGAAAUGAGCCCAAGUGACCAAAGACAAAACCAUGUUUCAACAUCGAGAAAAAAGCCUAUUUCCCUCCCAAAAAGUGACAUAUGUCCCAAAAACCAUGUCUCCACUUUUCCCUCUUAUUGGUUGAUGCCUGACAUAUGUCCUGUUCAAACACAGUUUAUCACAUUUUUCCAUGCACAAAAAAUUAUUUUUCAAGAAAGAGACUAAGAGAGAAUGACGAUGAUAUGAUCCCAAGUCUUAAUUCAUGGUUCACCUGUAGUUCAACAAAUGACAAUGCAACAACUAACAGAGGGACAAUGCAACAACAAUUAGUGGGAGCCAGUUUCUCAUCCUAAAUUAUGUUGAGCACUAUUGAAGAAAAACGAAAAGUAUCAUAGUAAUCUGUCUAAAGCCAAUAAUAUAGUAAAAAAUGACAGUAAAGAAAUAUGGAUAGUGAAACAAAAAAAUAUUAGCGUUAUACACCCUCCUCCUAAUUAUAAGUCGUUUUAGCUUUUCUAGAUACAUAAAGGACUUAUAGUUUGGGCUGCAACAGGAGAGUGUAUAGCAAAAAAUAUCAAUAUUGUGCAACACAUGUAGAUACAACAUUAGGAAUCUUAUAUAAACUGACCAACAAAUUGUAAGAUGCAAGACCAGAGCGAUCCAUGGACAAAUGAAGGAGAGUCAAAAUAUUGAAUUAAUAUGAGUUAGUCUCAUUUAAUAGAUCUUUGACGGACUAAAGACUAAAACAGUUUAGUCCCUGUUUUAUUGCAACUUAUUUGCCAAUUUAGCUACUAAAUAAAACUAAAAUGAAUGAAUUAAUUUUUAGUCCCUAAAACCAAACGGAACGUGGAAUACUGCUAUUAAGAUCUCCAUCAUGAUCGUGACAAAGGUAAGAGCUGUGGUUGAGAAGAGCUUGAACUUUGUCGUGGUUCAGUUUGAUUUUUAACUUUUUCGUGCAGAAUACUCGAGUGGAGCCGUGAGGGUGGGGUGGGCUCUGAGAAAGGCAGAACUCCAGAGGGCAAAAGUGACAUUUCGCAUGGGGUUGUGUGGUCCGUAUCCUUGACCAUGGCUUCAACGUUUGUCGUCUCGUACACUUUCCCCUCUCUCCGGGGGCGGCGGGCACCGCAUUGACGGACCUCACCCUGUUGUGCUGCCCCGAUCACCUCGUCGACUGCACGGCCCCCUUUUGCCACCGGCGUUUGUCACUCAACACAUCUAACAAUCCCAACACCCGUUCCACAAUUCCACCGUCAUCAUCGAAGAAGUUCCCCGAAGCCACAGGGCUAAGCCCUCGUCCAACGGCAAAGGUGUCUCUCCGACGAGAGAUUCCGGUCUGGAGCUGAGCAAGUCGCCUCCGCCGCCGCCCGCUCCAUGGUGGACUAAUCCUUCGGUGCCGGCGACCGGAGACCAUAGCUGGCUGAUCCUCGACCGCAUCGUCCACCGCAGUCGGAAGCAGUGUGGGGACGCUACGACCUCGGUGCUCGCCCACGAGUGCGUCGGCUGGCCGAUCCGUGCCUCCCUCCGGAUCGCGGACCCCCCCGCGGUGUCCCGUCUCUACGUCCACUGGACCAGCAUUCCAGCCAUUGACCACCACGACUCCAUUCUAUUCCGGGUGUCUGUCCCCUUCGACGAUCCCACUUUCUGAAGCCAAAUUGUCUACUUUCCUGAUGACUACUUUGUCUACUCGUGCUCCUCGUCGCCGUCGUCCCUUACUAGGCUUCCCCCUUGCUUCACCCGGGUUCCCCCUUGCUUCGGCGGUGGACGCACCGACCCUGAGUUGGAUAAGUGGUUACAACCGCACCGGCGCCAGCAACAACGGACCAUGAUUGAAGAAGACAUGGGCAUCCUCUGCCAUGGAGACAAGGGUGAAUUCACGGUGGCAGAUCUCACAUAUCGUUUCAACCAGGAGAUCAAACUCUGCUUGCUACAUCAUCCACUUUUGCCUCUGAUGCUGAAAUGAAAUGGAGUGUUGAGAAGCUACAGAUCCCUGCCGACAUGAAGAUCAACCUCUACUCGUUUAAGACUGAUGUCGUCAUCACCAUCGGCGAGAGGUGCUUGUGCUGGGUUGACUACUACCAUGGUAUGUUGCUCAUUGAUGUCCUCACUGACAGCAACAGCAACAGCAGGCUCCGUUAUAUACCACUCACAUCUAAGGCUUUGAAGACUGAUCGUGUGUACAAGGACGGUAAACCUGAUCCGUUUCGGCGUCUCAGUGUCUGUGAUGGUGGUAUCAUUAAGCUAGUCUGCAUUAUUACUAAAAAGCACUCUUCUCCUUAUCCCUUCACCAUAGCAACAUGGACUUUGGUUGAUAUCUACCAAGGUAGAUGGGAGAAGGAUGUCAACUUGACCAUGGGAGCCAGCGAGUUCUUCAAUCUUUAAGACGACGCUGCCAAGAGUUGCCUCCCACGAGCAAAGUAACUAUUUUAAGAAUGAAUAUGCCAAAUUCAACUGGUUGUGCAAAGUGCUGCAUGCAAAAAACAAUGGCAUAGAUAAACUAAAUACAUGAGGAGAUGCAGUGAUACCUUUUGAUGGCGUCUUCACUCAAGUAAGAGAACUUGUUGGCAAUGAAGUCAUGAAAAAUGAAAUAGUUCUUGCAGUCCCUUUUAGGAGGGUAUCCUUCUUCUUCGUUGAUAUAGAUGGAACUUAACAGUAGCAACUUAUUUCGCAUGUUGACUUGAACCAUCCAGAAAGGAUCGCGGAACUUGUCCUCGAGGAGGAAGCAAAUGACAUCUGGAUCAACCAAGCUCACCACAGGAAAACUUGGCCUCACUCGUGGGAGGCAACUCUUGGCAGCGUCGUCGUAAAGAUUGAAUAACUCGCUGGCUCCCAUGGUCAAGUUGACAUCCUUCUCCCAUCUACCUUGGUGGAUAUCAACCAAAGUCCAUGUUGCUAUGGUGAAGGGAUAAAAAAGAAGGGUGUUCUUUAGUAAUAAUGCAGACGAGCUUAAUGAUGCCACCAUCACAGACACUGAGACGUCGAAACGGAUCUGGUUCACCGUCCUUGUACACACGGCCAGUCUUUAAAGCCUUAGAUGGAAGUGGUAUAUUACGGAGCCUGUUGUUGCUGUCAGUGAGGACAUCAAUCAGCAGCAUAUCAUGGUAGUAGUCAACCUAGCACAAGAACCUCUCGCCGAUGAUGACGACGGCAUCAGUCUUAAACGAGUAGAGGUUGAUCUUCAUGUUAGGAGGGAUCUGCAGCUUCUCAACACUCCAUUUCAUUUCAGCAUCAGAUGCAGAAGGGGGAUGGUGCAACAAGCAGAGUUGGACCUCUUGGUUGAAACGGUAUGUGAGAUUUGCCACCGUGAAUUCACCCUUGUCUCCAUGGCAGAGGAUUUCCAUGUCUUCUUCAAUCAUGGUCCGCUGUUGCUGGCGCCGGUGCGGUUGUAACCACUUAUCGAACUCGGGGUCGGUGCGUCCACCGCCGAAGCAAAGGGGAACCCGGGUGAAGCAAGUGGGAAGCCUAGUAAGGGACGGCAGCGACAAGGAGCACGAGUAGACAAAGUAGUCAUCAGGAAAGUAGACCGUUUGGCUCUAGAAACAGGGAUCGUCGAAGAGGACAGACACCCGGAAUAGAAUGGAGUUGUGGUGGGCGGCGAUGGCAACAGGCUCCUUCAUGCAGUCAAUGGCUGCAAUACUGGUCCAGUGGACGUAGAGACGGGACACCGCGGGGGGUCCGCAAUCCGGAGGGAGGCACGGAUCGGCCGGCCGACGCACUCGUGGGCGAGCGCCGAGGUCGUAGCGUCCCCGCACCACUUCCGACUGCGGUGGACGAUGCGGUCGAGGAUCAGCCAACUAUGGUCUCCGAUCGCCGACACCGAAGGAUCAGUCCACCAUGGAGCCGAUGGCGGAGGAGGCGACUUGCUCAGCUCCAGACCGGAAUGCCUCGUCGGAGAGACACCUUUGUCGUUGGGCGAGGGCUUAGCUCUGCAGCUUCGGGAACCUCCUUCGAUGAUGGCGUGGAAUUGUGGAACGGAUGUUGGGAUUGUUAGAUGUGUUGAGUGGCAAACGUCGGUGGCAAAAGAGGUCAUGCAGUCGACGGGGUGAUCAGGUCAGCACGGCAGGGUGGGGUCCAUCAAUGCGGUGUCCGCCGCCCCCGGAGAGAGGGGAAAGUGCACGAGACGACAAACACUGAAGCCACGGUCAAGGAUACGGACCACACAUCCCCAUGCGAAAUGCCACUUUUGCCCUCUGGAGUUCUGCCUUUCUCAGAGCCCACCCCACCCCCAUGGCCUCACUCGAGUAUUCUGCACGAAAAAGUUAAAAAACAAACUGCACCACGGCAAAGUUCAAGCUCUUUUCAACCAUAGCUCCGGCCCUUGUCACGAUCAUGAUGGAGAUCUUAAUAGCAGUAUUUCACGUUCUGUUUGGUUUUAGGGACUAAAAAUUAAUUCAUUCAUUUUAGUUUUAUUUAGUAGCUAAAUUGGCAAAUAGGUUGCAAUAAAACAGGGACUAAACUAUUUUAGUCUUUAGUCCUUCAAAGAGUGAUUAAAUGAAACUAACUCAUAUUAAUUCCAUAUUUUGCCUCUCCUUCAUUUGUCCAUGGAUCACUCUGGUCUUGCAUCUUACAAUCUGUUGGUCAGUUUAUAUAAGAUUCCUAAUGUUGUAUCUACAUGUGUUGCACAAUAUUGAUAUUUUUUGCUAUGCACUCUCAUGUUCCAGUCCAAACUAUAAGUCCUUUAUGUAUCUAAAAAAGCUAAAACGACUUAUAAUUAGAAGGAGGGUGUAUAACACUAACAUUUUCUUGUUUCACUAUCCAUAUUUCUUUACUGUCAUUUUUUACUGUGUAAUUGGCUUUAAACAGAUUACCAUGACACUUAUCGUUUUUCUCUAACAGUGCUCAGCAGAAUUUAGGAUGAGAAACUGGCUCCCACUAAUAGUUGUUGCAUUGUCCCCCUGUUAGUUGUUGCAUUGUCAUUUGUUCAACUACAAGUGAACCAUGAAAUUAAAAAGAUGUUCUGUUGGUCAGGCCUGAAAACUGAUGUGGAAUUAUUUGUGAAACAAUGUGCGGUUUGUCAGCAAGCCAAAAGUCCCAAGCAGUAUCCUUCUGGGUUACUUCACCCAUUGCCUGUGCCAGCAGGAGCUUGGCAAGACUUAACUAUGGAUUUUAUUGAGAAGUUACCCCGGUCAGAAGGAUAUGAUACUAUUUUGGUGGUGGUAGAUCGAUUCACCAAGUAUGCUCACUUCUUUCCCUUAAAGCACCCUUUCACUGCUCAGGGAGUGGCCCAAAUCAUGGUAGAUUCAGUAAUCAAGCUGCAUGGGGUGCCCAAAACAGUGGUAUCUGAUAGGGACAAGAUUUUUACAAGUGUUUUUUGGGAACAUUUGUUCAAGCUCUUGGAUAUUAAGCUUGCUUUAAGCACAACCUAUCACCCUCAGACAGAUGGGCAGAGUGAGCGAGUUAAUCAGUGUUUGGAGAUGUAUCUCAGAUGUGCUGUCCACUCCAACCCUCAGAAAUGGAAGUCUUGGCUAUCUUUAGCCGAAUUGUGGUAUAAUACCACUUUCCACUCAUCAUUGGGUUGUUCACCUUUCCAGGCCCUUUAUGGCUAUGAAGCAUUUGUUCUUGGCAUUCCUUUAGUCACAGGGCAGGAGGAUAAGGGAGCUGUCCAGUUUGUCCAGCACAGAGCUGAGCAUAUUGAGAUGUUGAAGGCCAAUUUGGCUAGAGCUCAACAGAGGUAUAAACAUUUUGCAGAUAAGAAGAGGGUUCCCAGGGAGUUUCAGGUCGGGGAACAUGUUUUGCUCAAGCUCCAGCCUUAUGCUCAAAAUUCUAUGGUCAAUAGACCUUGUCCCGAAUUCGCAUUCAAGUAUUUUGGGCCUUACACAGUGACUGAGAAAAUUGGGCCAGCUGCUUAUCGUUUGGCUCUUCCACCAGAAGCUCAGAUCCACCCUGUCUUCCAUGUUUCCCAACUCAAACCAUUUGUUCCAAAUUAUACUCCCGGUCUUUGAUACUCUUCCUCAACCAAUGGAUUUGGACAGGGGACCUCUGGCUACGGUAGAGAUCCUGGAUCGCAGUAUGGUCAAGAAAGGCAACGCGGCUACGGUCCAAGUGUUACUCAGAUGGUCUAGGUUACCAUCAUCAUGUGCUACUUGGGAGGAUUUUACUGUGGCCAAGAACAGAUUUUCAAAGGCCCUUGCUUGGGGUCAAGCAAGCUCUCAAGGGGGGCGGAUUGUCACAACCCUACCAAGAAUGCAUAGAUUCAGACAAGGUAACAAGAGGGCAAGAAGGAGGAUAGAGGGGAUAGAGUAAUACAGCUGUAAGCUGCUGGCAUCUAGCUAUAAUAACUGAUUAGAUCUGUCAUCUAGCUGUUAAUCCAGCUGUAAUAACUGAUUAGCAGUUAGAGUCACUUGGUGCUGCUAUAAAUCUGAGCAUUUGUAAUGGAGAAGACAUGAAAUGAAAUAAAACAGAAAUCAAGCUCCACCACAUACCUGUGUGAUUUAGCGUUCUUGUUUGAUUCGGCUAAAGGGGAGACCUCACGUCGGAUGAACCCUAGGGAGAGGGAAAGCCAUACCUGGGCACAGAUUCAAGGGUGGACGAAACCCUAGACCAGGGUUCCUCACAGGGAGAUCAGGAGAUGGCCACUGGGCUGACGCUUGCGGAGAUGGUGCUUGGGGAGAUGGCCGCUGGGCGCCUGGGGAGAUCCGGAGAUGGCCGCUGGGCGCCUGCCUGGGCGUGCGCGCCAGCGCGGUGCGCAUCGUGGGCGUGGGCGCGUGGCCCGACAGGCAGGGCCGCUGGCCGCUGGCCGCUGGCCGCUGGGCGUGCGCGAGCGCGCCUGGGGAGAUGGCCGCUCGCCGCUGGGCGCCUGGGGAGAUGGCCGCUGCCCGCUGGGCGCCUGGGCGGCCGCAGCGGUGCGCAUCGUGGCGUGGGCUAGUGGUGGCUGGCGGAGACCGGAGAAGACGAAUGGAUGGGCAGGAUGGCGGCGGCCGACGCCUCGGGAGUCGAGGAGAAAAUUGGAGACGGAAGAGGUGGGAACCCUAAACGGCUACAACUAAUUAAAUGGAGGCCGAGUUUUAGUUUUAAGUAGUGGUGCUUUAAGUAUAUUAGAGAUUAGAGAUAUAUAUUAUAUAGUUACAAAGAAAAAGAUAAAUAUAUUAAAAGUCCUUCUAUUUAUUGUGCCGAGUUUUAGUUUUAAGUUUUGGGUCUAAGUUUUGAAUACCAAUCUCCUAUUGUAAUUAUUCAUUCCCUUUAGAGAGGUAUACUUUACAAAGGAAUAAAAUCAUUAUUAGAAGUCAUUUUAUCUCAAAUCAUUUGAAGAAUUCUUUAAAUCACCAAAAUGAGAUUUUGGGUUUAUCUCUACUAACUAUUAAGUGAUUAGUGUAGACUGCCCCCGCUCCCGGCUCCACCCGCCCGCCCGACCGACCUUCGGAAACCUCGCCGCGCUUCCAACCGCCUCCUCAAACAACGCCGGGAACGCCGCAAACCCCGCCGCACGCAGCUCCUCUGUCGCCUCCACCGCACACAGCAUGCGCGCUCCUUCCCCGCUCUGUUCUCGUCCCCGCGUCGCUCAGAUCAGCUCUGGCUCCUCGCCACGCGCGCCCUCGGACCUCGACCCAUGGCGCGUCGAUCUGCCCGCGGCCCCGAGACCCUGCCCCGGCUCCCGACUCCUCUCCCUUCCCUACAUCGUGCUUCCACAAUAUCGCGCGCGGGGCCACGACAACGUCGUCAUCGCGGUGCCACACCAUCGCCGCGGGCCCCAACAUCGCCACAUCGUCGCCUCCGCUUUCCCGGUGUCGAUCGUGGUCGCCACCUCUACCAACAAAUGCCUCCAUUGCGUCGAGCUCUCAGCAUGGUCGCGCCAUGAAUUCCUCAACUCGCCAUGGGUCCGCGUGCGGGAGCUCCUCAACCAACUCUGCCAUCCCACCGCCCCCAUUGCGAUCCGCCAACCCAGCUCGAUCCCACGCGCCCCCCUUAAAAGCGGCGGCGCACACCCGUGUCUCCCUCACGCCCAACCACCCCCACCCUCGCCCUAGCCCCGAACCCUCCUGGCGGCGGCCCCGCACGUGCAGGCGCGCGACAUCCUAUCAGGAGGCGAGGGGGCUCUGAUGACCACCAGUGCCAACCUGAUGAACCAUCCGCCUCACCGCCUCGCUCCCCGUCAUGAAUAGGGUUCUGUCAUAUAUGUGCUCGAUUGGUCCAGGAACUCUGAGUCCCGCUUCCAGUUCAUUGUCAUGAAUACGCGCAACACUGGUACAUCGGCGAUCACUGCUCGGAUCGGUCACCCGCGGCGCCUAGACAGGAAUUCAAAUCACUACGCUAUUGUUGCAGAUGCCUUACAAUCUCUUUUGGUAAUGUGGAUUCUAUUUUCAUCCAUCUGUUUCUUAUUUAUUUCUUGUUAUAUAGGCUUGAUUAGCAUCCAGAUUCAGCGUUUGGCAUGGCAUGACUAUUCCUUAAAUAUUGCAAAUGGUCAUCUUCUUCGAAAUAUAAAAAGAAUGGUACCAUUUGUACCUACGGUAUUCGCCAUUGCUUUGACUGAAAACAAAAGUCUAUUUGUGUUAUGCGCUCAAACAUAUGUACACAAUAGACGUGCAUUACAUGUUCUAUAUAUCAGAUGCAUAUAAACUACUCCAUUUGUUUCUGCAGCUUGCCGAUUCAAAUUCCAAGGAUAUGAAGAGCAAGACAAAGGAGUGAAAUGACUUAAUCAAGCCAGACAUAGUAAGUUUUUGUGUUCACUGGUUGGAUAUCCGCUUUUGGCGCGUGUUCGAAUGUUUGCAUCUUUUGGACGGUAUGUAUGAGCCUCGUCUUCCGAACUUCGAUGACAGCAAGGUCAGGUUGGAUAUCUGCUUUUGGUGUUUGCAUCUUUUGGAUGUCUGUGGACGCAUCAUGCAUGUAGGGCUUUACCCCGUUAUCGAAAGAGAUUGUAACCCCUUGAGUUGUGAUACUUGACAUCUACGAGUAGUUGCUUAAUGUACUUUUAAACAUUCUAUUCAGUUUGGAUGUUCCUUGUCUUGCUACUUCACAGCUUGCCAAGUCAGUAAUCUUAGGAUUCAUGUUUGGCUUGCUCUUUGGUCUUUGCUGUCGUUCCUGUAAAUAAAUAUUGGCGUUUAAUUUGGCCUUCUCUUACGUCGUUUAUGGGAUGAUGGGGUGCCGUUUCGAGUUGGCAAUAAUAGAUCUGUUGUUCAUCCAAACUCAGUUGGUUUUGUUUUGUAUUUGUUCCGAAUCAUGUUGGUACAGUUAGCAUGUGAAUGGACAAGCCAUUAGCCACGGUCUAUUUUUUUUGUUUGUUUGUUUGAAAAUGCCAUGUUUUUUGGUUUGCUUGAAAAUUGAAAUGAAAGCUAAAAGUUUUACCAUCUCUAUUUUAUACCACUUUCGUUCUCAAAUAUUUAUCGCUUCAUUUUUUAACUAAAUCGCGACAAAUAAAAUAAAAAAGAUGACAGAGUAUAUAAGGCUGGCUCUAGCAUAGACCACUAAACAGUCACGUCCGCUGAAUUUAGCGGACGGCAACGUACGUCCAACAAGGUACUCUAUACGAUACGCUAUAAUUUAGUGGUGGUGUCGGACACGGUAAAUGUGGCAGACUUCUAUCGUCUGCUAUCACCACCGUCGAGGCUGAUCAUUCGCUCCCGCGCGCGGCUCGGAACCUUCAACGCAUUGUCGGUUUUCCGUCCUCACUGUUCAACUCGGCAAGCUCUGGUGGUCCUGCUCCCCGUCGCAGAGGGUGCUGGUGCGAGAGGGACGGGAGCUGGUGGCAGAGCUCGGUACUCCUACACGCAGGGAUGGGUGACGAGCACAUGCGGCAUCAUCACUGUCAAGAUCAACAUCCCCACUGGAUAUUUGUUUUUAUUAUUAUUAUAUGUUCGUAGUGAAAAAUGUUAAUUACUUUUUUGAAUUAGGUACGUGAGCUCGAAUUCAAAUUACAUGAAAAAUAGAGAAUAAAUAUUGUAGGUAAUAGAUUCUAUUAACACUGUAGAUAUAGAGGAUCGAUUUUAGAGGACGUUGUUGGAGAUGAAGAAAAUAUAGAGGACGAAUUUUUUAGAGGAUGCUGUAAAUGAUAAAGAAUAUUACUUUAAAGGACGAAAUUUAGGAGACGUUGCUGGAGACAGCCUAAUACUAGAGCAAAAGGCGCCCUUACGGCCCCCCUAUCUGGUAUCAUACUAUUUAGAAAAUAAGAUAUCACAACCAAAAGUCUCCUAUCAAGCCUACACUGAUAGCAAUGCAAAGCACUCGCUCUGCCAUCAUUUUCUACUGGAUAUUUCUCGCUCACGUCAGCGCUUCGAUUUUCUCAAUGCACCUCAGGUGCAUCCACACCACGGGCAUUUUGCUCCACUUUGAUCACCUACAGUUACAAAGAGCAAAAAGAAACAAAAUUCAGUGGUCUAAGAUAUAAACUACAGACUGCAAGUUCAUAACCUGCUAUGCAUCAUACAAAAAGAUAUUACCUCCGUUCUUAAAUAUUUAUCAUCCGCUAGUUCAUUUUUGAACUAAACCGUGAUAAAUAAAAAAAGAACAAAAGAAAUAUAUUGUUGCACAUAUUAAAAACAUAGUAGCAUUCAAACCAUACAAGUUCAUCAUGAAUAAACAGAACAAACUGCAUCAGAGCACUACCAACCAGACACGGUCUAUCUCAGAUUCUAGCGUUCCAUGCCAAAAUACCUUCAUCCGAUAGCUGUUUUCAAGAACUUUCAGUUGCUCUAGAUCCUCUUCCAUUUGUAAUGGUUGGACUAUUGGUGGAAGUUCUAGAUAGAUCUUCAAAAAUCUUGAAUGAAAGCCCUGUGUGAGAGAGAGCAGUUAGUCAAUUAAUUAGCCAAAUGAAAGUCGGUUAAUCAAAGGACCAUGUAUCAAAUAUAAAUAAAUAAGCAUAAGCUUGAUAAGGUAUGCGAUUCCAAGAUGAAGAAGAUAUGGAUUUUUUGGAUUGACGUUCCCUGAUCUGAAAUGGUCAGGGCCAGAAGAUUUUCAUGUGAAAAAAUACAGUCAAUAUAAGAGUUAAAUAGCUAUUUGUGCCUCACUUAUUGAAUGGAAUCAGCCCUCUUAAAAAAUAUCACGUAGCCCAGAUUAUCCACAACACACUUCACUCUAUUCGUAUCGAAUGCAUCUUCUAGUUUCAGUGAAGUAACAGCUGUGCUGAAAACUGCAGUACUGAAUAUAAUACCAGAGUUCAUUUCUUGAAUGCGAAUAACUAUGAAAAUCGAAUAACUAUGAAAAUAUUAAUUAUUUACAUCUAAAACAUUGGUUUUGUAUGUGUAAGCAGUCAUUAACAUUCAUGAUAGAUCAAGAAAAAACAUACAGACUCAGCCUACCAGCCAGCUCCAAUGGAAAUAUCAACAGGUUCAUAGCCUCUGCAGUCAAACACCAUCAAACAAGUCUUCGUUUCUUUCUAGCUCUGCUCAAUAGUACUACCUCCAUUUUUAUUUAUUUGACGCUACUUAAUUCAAUUUUGUACUAACCGGCAACAAAUAAAAACAAGCGGAGGGAGUAAGUGGCAUCCACUGACCAUGAAUCAUCACAAUUGUUCCAUCUCUCCCACAAAGCUUGCACUGAGAGAAGACGACAGCUUACAUGGUUCAACAAAAUAUACAGUCGACACGCUAAAGAACCGAUAAUGCAAAAACCAUCACCCUGCCAAUGAUCACAAUACAAGAAAUCAUAUUAACAAAAAAGCAAUCACAUUGCUUGUGAAUCAUAAAGCAUAUAUUUUCCUAGGUAACCUAGUUUGCAAAAUAGCAUGACCCUUGAGAAGGAACAAAUGAACAAUCCUCUGUUGUUGUCCUUUUACAAAAAUAUGCCUCCUGUCCACCCAAUUUUAAUCAUGAAUCAGUACCCCUCACAGAAUCCAACCCAACCUACUAAGCAAAUAACAUAAAAGAAGGAAAUUCAGAAGACUAAAGGAAUCUCAAUUAACCACGUCAUGAGUCAUCUCAUUUGCUGUCCUCAUAUCAUGUAGUACCAAAAUACGAAAAUGAAUGCAUUUUAAAAAUUGAAGAAGGCAUAGUAGGAGCAGCUAACAUCAGUGUCGAAAAAUCAAGUGACAUCAGUAAAAUCAAUUGCAUUCCUCAACUGAAUGUAGAUAAAGACACAUAGACCAAAUUAUUGGUGUUCAGAGAAAUCUAACAGAAAGCAAAUGCUCUCAAACAUCUAAAAGUCAAUAAAACAUAAUAUCAGUGGUCACUGCACAGUAUUAUGCACAUACAGGAAGCGAGAUCUUACAUCUACCACCGUCUUAUCAAUUUCACAUAUGCCAAUCUGCUCCACAGAGAUAUGUCGUGAAACCUAACACAGAACACCACCGUUCCCCUCCAAUAACCAACACAUGUGUAUCAUGAAACAAUUGAACGUUACAUCCAAUAAAUUUUAGAUAAUAUACAUAUUCAUCUGUGUACAUAUUCAUCAUUUUGAAAACUACAAAUACCAAAAAAUUCACCUAAUUAAUGAACCUGGCAGUACGACUGCAUCCUAACAAUUUUUUACUGCAGACUUCUCCAGGCAUUACAAGUUCAAACAAAUUACAAGACAAAAUUAUAUGAAGUAACCAAUGACAUAUUCUUAAAGAUGGUUUAAUUGAUGCAAAUAGCAUCAGAGCACACCUUUUAGUGCUAAAUGUACCAAAACAUGUAUGAUAAUAUCGUUAGCUAUGAUGCUAGCACGCAUUUCAUUUUUUGUCAACAAUAAUAUUGUAAGCGGCCAAUUGCAGUUUCGAUUCGAAUUUUUGGCAUCAAAAUAAAUAAAGCGUGCAUUCUACUUUUUUUUUGUUACCAACGCCAUCGCACCAGGCUUACCACCGGGAAAAAAAAUCUAUACAUACCGCAUGUGAACACCACCUUUUACAGCCCCUCACAUGCACCACUUAAAGGCCCACAAAGACAGAUCAAAAUUUACAAAAUAAUCUUUUAGUAAUUUAUUUUUUUCUUCUAUUUAUAUAUACCAGCAGCUGGUGUAUGUGAGGGGCUGUAAAAGAGAUUCUUUACAUCCCAGAUGUAAAGAAUUUUUUUUCCUACCAAUAGGCAAAACCCACAUUAGUAGUGAACUGGAACAACAAAGAGCAGUCCAUCAAAGAAGAGAGAUGGAAGGGACAUCAUACCUUCAAGCUUCCACGAAGGCAUCGUAGCAGCGAGACGGGACGCGAGGUCAGCGACGACAUGGGGGUUAGGUCGUUGCGGCUGCGUCGCGCGUGGCCACGUAGGUGAGGAGGGAGUCAUACCGCGGGCGGGAUCCGCAGCGGCAUGGUGAGGAUGGCGGCUAGGAGAAUGUACGCCGCGCAGACGAGAGAAUGUCAGUGUCAGGGCCGUUCCUGACUUUUCAAGGCCUUGAACGAAAUCCGAUAUGGAGGGUCCAUCCACACACAAAUAUAUAUAAUUAUACAUACAGUAUCGAAUAUUUAACAUAUAAAAAUUAUUAUGCUCUGUUUUGAUGCUUAUAAGAUAACAAAUGUAAAAUAUAGCUAAAAGCACUUACUUCUUAUUUGAUAUCAUUAAAAAUAUCUUCUAACAUUUUGUGAUACAAAGUCAUCGCUUAUAUCAUUGAGAUCAAUUUCAUCCAACAACUUUUUUUCGAUAUAUAGAAUCGUCAAGCCGUUUAACCUCUCUUAAGUUAUUGUUGACCAUAAAUAGUUCACAAAAAUAUUUCAAUUUUAAAAAGCUUCUCUCUGCCGAUGCAACCAUCAUGUGUAUAGUAAAUAAUACUCUCUCUAUAUCAAAAUAAAAUUUGUUUUGCUUCUUUAGUGGAUUCAUCAUCAUCUAGUUGAAUAUAAACAUAAAAAAUCAAGAGCUAAAACAAAUACUAUUUUUUAUCGGAUGGAGUAUUCGAUAAGCAAUUGAGACAUUAGUUUAACAAUCUAAAUGAGACUAGUUGAUAGCGCAUCGCUCUUUGCGUAUUUGUGUCUAGAAUAGAUAGGUUUAACAGGAAAAAAGUGUUAGCGUCUAGUGGCUAGGGGACCCUCUGAUUUUGGGGGCCUGGUGCGGCCGCACCCUUGGCACCCCCACAGGUACGGCCCUGGUCAGACAUACUGCCAUGGUCACCACAUAGGUUGGCAAGUGGGGAGGCAACUGGAGGUCAAUACAAGGCGAUGAAGCUGUUAGCAAGCAAUCAUAAGUGGAAAGGGAUGAACAAGACAACAGAAACAGACGCGGCAGAAGAGAAGGCUUAAGCGCAGUCGAGGAGAUCAAAGUGCGCCAGCCCCUGGCCAAAUAUAAAUGUGGUUGGGCCACGUUGGGCCAUGUAAUAUGGGCCUCAAUACUGAUACACUUGUGUGACCGCGUCCAUAUAUAAAUGGCGUGUAUCUGUACAGGAGAGGGUAUCGAAGAACAAAAAUAACAAUUCUAUUAUCGCCUUCCCUGCUAUCUUCUUCUUCCCCAUGUCAUAUCUUCCCGUUCUCCACACCUCUAGCGACUGUUAGUUCGUGCCCUAGCCGACAGAGUUGCUAACAGAGAAGAGGGGUGAGGUCUGUCAAGAAUGCCGCCAUGUCAAGUCGGAUUCCGCGCCGCCAUGGAGACAAACGGGGAGGGGUCACGGAAACUGCGGUGGCGCGAGGAGUAGCAUGCUUCGGGGCGACGACACGAGAAGGAGAGAGGAGUAUGUUAGGACACCCGAAGGAGAGACUACUAGGGAAUGGCAGGUGACACAGACGCCUCAGCUGAGAGAUCGAGAACCUCGAAGAAGAGAGGAGUAGGAGAAACAACAGUACCAUGCGUGCCGAUCCGAGCAGGGAGAGGGGCAGCGCGGAGAGGAAGAUGGCGGGAUGGGGCCGACGUUUGCUGCGGUGGUGCGGGGAGGAAUAGUAUGCGGAAGGGGGCGGUAGAACUUCUCAAAGGAUGCAAAUGCACUAGAACUUCUCAAUCACUCACUAGAAUGCGAUCUCAAGCAACAAGUAUGAGAGUUUGAGUUAGAGGAUCACAAAUGAGCUCAAUGUAUGCUAGGAGUGGUCAAGAGAGCCCUCACACACAAGCUCCAUUUCUAUUUAUAGCCCACAACUCAAACCUAGUCAUUAUGUGCAAAUAGCACAACUUCUGCGCACACAUGGACGGUCCACGCCCCAUGGCCGGACGGUCCAUCGUACCAGUAACGGCUAUAAAGACCGUUGAAACCUGUCAGUGCUGUCAGAAAAAGUCAAGCCUGGACGAUCCACCCUCCUGGGCCGGACGGUCCGGGACCUGUCAACAUGGAAUAUCAUAGCACUCGUCAGUUAAAACAAUCCGAGCGGAGUGUCCGCCAUUUUAUGGCCGGACGGUCUGCACAUGGACCACUUACCGUCCGGCUAAAAACCCCGGACAGUCCAUAGUGCAAGGACUCAAAAACACACUUUCCCUGCCCAAACUCAAUUCAGUUUAUGCGGACGGUCCAGCCUCCUGGCUUGGAUGGUAGCGAAGGGAGACAGAGACAAGGCGCCAGCAGACUUCUCUGACAGAGUCGCGGACGAGCUGGCCUCCUGGCUCGGACGUUCUACCAACCACAGAGUUGAUAUUUUUGCGCUUUUUCAAAAGAUUUUGUAUUUUAAAAAACGAAGCGUUGUUAGCCCUCAUGUAAAUGCAACCGUUUAUAUUAUACGAGGCACUAAGUUUUACACCGAUCAAGUUCAUUGACCCCUCUUAAUAGUACGACCGUCUACCCUAUUAAUCCGGUCAAUUUCUUCUCUAAACACCUGCUGACCGGCAAAAAACAAAACCUAUAUUUUUCCUUUGUCUUCUUCACUUGAUCGAUUAGUUUCAUCCAAUUUUCACACUAUUAAACGAUUGUGCUUGAGACUGAUUCAAUUUUUCUUUAGUUGAUCUAGUUGACAAAUUAUUAGCGGCUCCAUUCUGGACACUGAAACCAUGAUAUUAUGAACUAUGUAAUCCAGCAUUGAAUUUCCAAAAAUGGUAUCUAGAAUAAAAGGAGACUUUUCUGUACCUCUGGCAAAAAUAAUAGGUGACGCGGCUCUCAUAGGAAAUAAAUAUUUGACAUAAAGAGGAAGAGGCUCAAUGGGACACCCACAUGGAGUUUCUUUGCACUCUAAUGACAGGCCAAAUAUGAACGACAAAAAAAUGUCAAAGACAAGAAAAUAUAGGAAAGAAAUAUUUGACAUAAAAAGGAAGAGGCUCAAUGGGACACCCACGUGCAGUUUCUUGCCUACAUGUAUAGAUUAGUAGACUGUAGUAAAUGGUCCUUGAUGUCUGGUCAUUUCUAAGGAUAAAUUCUAAUCAUAUUUAACAGCAGUUGUGAAAUUCUUUAGCUUGUAAGUUCCCUUAACGACUGACAAACAUGCAUAUUAUUAUGAAGAGUACCGUAUUAGAACGGCGUAUUCAUUGAAUACAACAAGAAAAACUGAGAACUCUAGGAAUAAAUAAUACUCAUUAUUAUAAAUAAAAAUAAUUACAUCGUGAUACUAAUCUGCACAAGUGUGUUCCGAUUCCAUCUAUAAGAGACAUUUUUAAAGGAACUGAGCAUCAAUUCUGCAACUAACAGUAAAGUUUCUUUGAGUCUAGGUUGGGGAUCAAACAAUCACCUAUAAGAAAGGAUGUGGCGGAAAACUUAUGAUGCUGACAAUCCUUAGAAACCAAGUAGAUUCUAAAGAAAAGUUGCUUCUGCUGCUUCUCAUCUGAAGAGCUUGUUUCAAGUGUUGGUAGCUGGACUACUGGGUAACCAAAAGAAACCUGAGGGUUACCAAGCUCUCACCUAAUCUUUCUCUAGAAUUGCGCAUCUCGACAAGGGCCUUCACUAACUGAUGGGAAAGCAUGAUUCGGUAAUUUAGGCCCCCGAGCCAGAUGAUUUGACUGUAAUGAAAGGCAAAACAAAGGAACCAAUGUCACACCAAAUGCAUAUGGAGUAAACUUCAUGAAUCCGUUGUAAGGUUCUUUGCUUACUCGUGUCCUAUGAUUGUUUCUAGUGAACGCUCAUACUGCACAUAGACCAUUAGAAACCUGGUAUUCAUGAGGAUUUCUAGCACAUCGGAGUUCCUAUGCAACUCAUCACCUUCCUUGUCUUGAAGUCAGGUGGCUGCAGACGAAGCAUAAACUUGUUUGGUGCAAUGACAUGCAAAUCGAAUUGAACCCUGGAAAACAAAUCCUUUACUAUUGAAUAUUUAAGCUAACAAGAUUUCAUGUUUGUGCUCAAAGUAUAUAUGAUAAAGUGGAAAAGCAACAAAAAAAACACUAUGACUAACCUCAUGACGAGGUCAGAGAAGGCUCCCGAGCUGAACCCCUCGACCUGGACAUGGUCACAGAGCACGGUUGCAGUCCCUCGGUCGGAGCUCCGAUUACCAAUGACUAUCUGGGUACAUGACAAUCACCAUAGGACCUAGGAAGAAGCAUAGCGUUAUCCUGCAAGAAGCACACCAUGGCCAUCAAAUGCAGCACGGACAACACCUCAUACCAAGGAUCUGCCAAUGCCAUGGAUGUCUCCUGCACUCUAGUCAUGUAGUACUCUUAAAACAUUCAGAAGAACUUGCAUAGGUGCAUAUACAAGGGGACUCAAUUCUCACCUCAGCCACAUCUUCUUGGUUAGCCCGUACAAACUGCUGCAAUAUUGAUGUCCGAAUCAUGAUAAAUUAUCAGGAAAGCAAUUUUUUAGUGUAAACAGCAACAGUAGGGACAUUUCGCACGUAUAAUCACCUUCCACCAGUUCUAGCAGAGCCUGGAUAGAGGAGAUUAGCAGUGCUAGACCCUCUUGCAGAUCAAAGGCCACAAACAAAGCAAGAAUUCUGUUAUUCACAUUUAGUAUGAAUAACCACGGCAGGGUUCAUAUGCUACAACAACCAUUGUGCUCUUGUACCUAGAAUAAUUAGAGCAUUUGUGCCAGAAAUUCCAGUCACCUGAAAAAUUCAAGCGGUAGAAAAGAAAACAAACAAAAAAGGCAACUAAUGUACCAUUUUGCUUGUUAGAGUAAUAUGUUGGGAUUUUUUUUAUUGUAAACAGCACCUUAUCCACCAACUUAUUUUGAUGUCAAAAGGAACCCAAACAAGAUGAAUCCUGGAUAACAUCCUCUUUGGGGCAGAGGCGGGAUAUUGUACACCAAAGUUCAAACAUUGAAACAUAGCAAUUGCAAAGUGUAAAAAUCCAGAUUACCCUCACUACACAUGCUAAAUAAAUUCACUACAUAAUUAUUUAUCAGUGUAUUUAGUUGGGCUAGUAGCUUAGAUUCAUGCCAAAGUUUGAGUACCGAUUAAGGUUUCUCACACAUGACAAAGGCAGAGAAUUGGCAGUGGGCGUCUUCAAAAGAUUGUCAUUCGUUCAACAAAUCACUGUCGCUUGUUCACACUUUUGUGCCAUGCUCGCCUCUUUCACCUUCUACAUUGUCUCACUUAAUUCCCGACUGCAAGGAAGAAGAAAAAAACUGUCAUAAGGUGCUACAUAGAAAUUUUUAAUCUCUAGUUACAAACAACUGUGGUAGAACUUAAAUUACGCACAUAUAGUCAUAAUUCUUCUUCAUGUGAUAGAAAGUAUGCAAAAUAAUGAGCUAGCCAAAAGAAAGAAAUAUUUUUUUAUCAGAAACAGGUAUAAAACCAAGUUGGGUUGUUCAUCUUUACUACUCUAUUAAGAGUACAACGAAGGCGUCCACACCCCUUGCCCCCGCCUACUGCCGCCCGCGCGCCCCGCCUGCUCGCCCACAGGGCGAGGCAACGCCUCCGCCCCGACGCCCUCGUCUUACCCAUCAGCCGUGCAAUACCCACCCCCAGCCUUCGACCCAACAGAUGACGUGCGGCCGCCGCGCUGCGGCCGCCGCGCCCCGCCCGCUCGCGGCGCAUGCCCCUUGCCCCGCGUGCGUCGUCUCCCGUCACACCACCCCCUCGACCGCCUCGACGUCGGCGCGAGGCUCCAGGCCAUCGGGGACGAAUCCGGGCCAGGGCUCCCGAGCAGGCCACGGUCUACGACGAUGCCUACGAUCCCUGGACCCUGGAUGACACCGACGUGUGAGGUCCUACCCUGCCCCCACCCGCGUGUGUCGUCUCCCCUUGUGAACUUGUGAUCUAUUUUGUUUAGAUACUCUAUGAUUUGAAUUUUCCCUCUUUUUUUGUUAUUUGUCUUCCUUAACUAUAAUGAUUGUGAUAAACUUUAUUGUUGUGGAAUUUCUCAUCUAUGUUACAAGAUAGAUAUUCACCACUUUGAGGUCUGAAAUAAAACAUAAUAGCACUCCUAGGCUCACUUUGAGGUCUUAAAUAAAACAUAAUAGCACUCUUACAUGAUUACCACAUAGCUAUUUACCACUUUGAGGUUUGCAGGUCUCAGGCUCACUUUGAGAGGCUAGCAGAUUUGCUUACUUCAGAUAUUUUGAAGCCUUGUACCAAGCCAUCAAGGAGUAGGGUUGCAUCGGUCUUACUGCCAAUGAUGAUCCAUACAAUGCUAAUGAAAUGAGCCCAAGUGACCAAAGACAAAACCAUGUUUCAACAUCGAGAAAAAAGCCUAUUUCCCUCCCAAAAAGUGACAUAUGUCCCAAAAACCAUGUCUCCACUUUUCCCUCUUAUUGGUUGAUGCCUGACAUAUGUCCUGUUCAAACACAGUUUAUCACAUUUUUCCAUGCACAAAAAAUUAUUUUUCAAGAAAGAGACUAAGAGAGAAUGACGAUGAUAUGAUCCCAAGUCUUAAUUCAUGGUUCACCUGUAGUUCAACAAAUGACAAUGCAACAACUAACAGAGGGACAAUGCAACAACAAUUAGUGGGAGCCAGUUUCUCAUCCUAAAUUAUGUUGAGCACUAUUGAAGAAAAACGAAAAGUAUCAUAGUAAUCUGUCUAAAGCCAAUAAUAUAGUAAAAAAUGACAGUAAAGAAAUAUGGAUAGUGAAACAAAAAAAUGUUAGCGUUAUACACCCUCCUCCUAAUUAUAAGUCGUUUUAGCUUUUCUAGAUACAUAAAGGACUUAUAGUUUGGGCUGCAACAGGAGAGUGUAUAGCAAAAAAUAUCAAUAUUGUGCAACACAUGUAGAUACAACAUUAGGAAUCUUAUAUAAACUGACCAACAAAUUGUAAGAUGCAAGACCAGAGCGAUCCAUGGACAAAUGAAGGAGAGUCAAAAUAUUGAAUUAAUAUGAGUUAGUCUCAUUUAAUAGAUCUUUGACGGACUAAAGACUAAAACAGUUUAGUCCCUGUUUUAUUGCAACUUAUUUGCCAAUUUAGCUACUAAAUAAAACUAAAAUGAAUGAAUUAAUUUUUAGUCCCUAAAACCAAACGGAACGUGGAAUACUGCUAUUAAGAUCUCCAUCAUGAUCGUGACAAAGGUAAGAGCUGUGGUUGAGAAGAGCUUGAACUUUGUCGUGGUUCAGUUUGAUUUUUAACUUUUUCGUGCAGAAUACUCGAG
rnacentral:lncRNA from 1 species